UCCUGGUUAGCUCGGUAGAGUGCUCCACUGGAAAUGGGGAGGUCCCUUGUUCGAUACCAGGACCAGGUG
rnacentral:tRNA from 1 species